ACAAAGAAUCAGGUUACUUUCAGUAGCAUAAAAACUUCCAUACUAUCAAGUUAUUUUCGAUGAUAUGACUCUCGAAUUGGCAAUCGGCUCCUUUAAACAUGAUCUACACCAUUAAAAAUAUUUGGGAGCCAAAUUUUAUAAUUUUUCGAUAUUAUUUACAUAUUAAACGUGUAGUCUAAAAAAUAAAUGGCUGAAAAUAAUAAUUUUAUAAAAAAUGACAAUAAAAGAUAUGAAUUUAAGAUCAGAAGAAUUGAUCUUAUUCUAAAUAGUGAAGAAAAUUUUUUUUUAUCGGAUUUGGAUUGUUUUACACCGUUAAAUUUACAAACGCAUCACAUCAAUCAUUAAAAUUGUUAAUUUUGAGACUUUUUGAUCAGUAGCUAAAUAAUGUCGAAAAAUUAUAAAAUUUAAUUUUCAAAUACUUUGAAUAGUAUAGAUGAAGUCUAAUGGAGCCAAUCGUCAAUUUGAAAACUGUUCCAUUAAAAAUAAUUUAGUAGCACGAAGAAAGUUCUACUGAUAAUAUAGCAGCCUAGCUCUCACACACUCUCUCUCUCUAUAUAUACUAAUUAAUGUUAUUGUAACUAUAUAUAUAUAUAGCUAGUCUCCUAUACUAUCUAUAGUACCGGGGCUCCGGUACUAUAAUCUUGUUUUCGAUCUUAAGGUGUUCAAAUCAAUGAUCCACACUGUUAAAACUAAUCUAGGGUAUUUAAAGUUUUUAGAAAUAAAAUUUUAAAUUUUUUCGACAUAGUUUACUUUAUGAUCAAACCAUUUCAAAAUUGUCAAUUUUCAACGGCUACUAUGACAAGUUUGGAGUUUAACGGUGUGGAAGAAUCUAAAUUUCUUCAAAUUUUGAUAGAAAAUUCUUUGAACUAUCUAGAUUAAGGUUAACAUUCUUGAUCUUGAAUUUAAAAGUCCUAUACUCAAAUUUUAAAGAUUAUUCAAUUUCCACCGUUUAUUUUGACAUAAUUUAUUUACUAAGUAAACAAUAUCGAAAAAAACUAAAAUUUUAUUCCUAAGAACUUCAUUUACCCUAGAUCAUAUUUAACGUGUGCGGUUCAUUUUAUGAAAUAUCUUAAGAUCGAAAACAAGAUAUAAGCCGAAGCUAUUCGUACAAUCAGAUAUGUAUUAGAGCUCCAAUUAUAUAAUAUAUAGUAAUAUAUAUAGUAUAUAAGAGAGCAGAGAGAGAGAGAGAGAGUUGAGCUAGAAUACUAUCGGUAGCAAACAAGCUCCGUUGUCAUCCAUUUGUUUUCAAUGAUGGAGUCUCCAAAUCGAUGAUCGGUACUAUUGAAUAUGAUCUAUACCACUUGAAAUAUCUAAAAAUCAAAUUUCAUAAUUUUCCAAUAUUAUUCUCUUGUCCAUCAAGUGGACGUAAAAAUGAACGGCUGAAAUUGAAUAUCCUAUAAAAAGUGAUAAUAGAAAUUUUGUAAUCAAGAUCGAGAGUAUAGAUCUUGUUCUAAAUAGUUUAAAGAAUUUUCUAACUAAAAUUCAAUUGAUUUGGAUAGUUUUACACUGUUAAACAAGAAAAUGCUUCAUAUCUACCAUUAAAAUUACAAAAUUUGAAACCCUUUGAUCAUUAGGUUAAUGAUGUCGAAAAGAUUUAAAAUUUGGUUUCUAAAUAGUUCAAAUGGUAUAGAUCAUGUUCAACGGUGCCAAUUGUCCAUUUGAAGGCUCCAUCAUCGAAAACAAAUGGGUGGCAACGGAGUCCGUUUGCUACCGAUAGCAUUCUAGCUCAACUCUCUCUCUCUCUCUCUCUCUGUGAGACCCCAGAUAGUCAUAUAUAUAAAAUAUAAUAGGGCUAAACUCUUAACCCGCCUUAAGCAUUUUGGGUGGUGGCAAGGCCCAAGAGGUUAAGAGAGUUAAGCGUGCUAGGACGGGAGUAGUCCUAGGAUGGGUGACCCCCUGGGAAGUUGGGGCGUCACACUCUCUCUCUCUCUCUCUCCAUAUAUAUAUAUAUAUAUAUAUAGUAGGUUUUGUGUGCUAUUAGGAGCACGGCCUCCGUGCUCCUAAGCCGUUUUCGAUAAUGGAGCUUCUGAAUCGACGAUCGGCUCCGUUAGACUUGAUCUAGCGUAUUUGAAGUAUCUAGGAAAUAAAUUUUGUGAUUUUUCGAUAUCAUUCACCUAACGAUCGGAAGGGUUCAAAAUCAACGGCUGAAAGUAAAAAUAUCACAAAAAGUAGUGAUAUAACACUAAAAUUUUCGAUCAGAGAUGUUGAUAUCGCAGUAAAUAGUAUAAAAAAUUUUCUAUCAAAAUUUCAUCCGAUUUGAAUACUUCUACACCGUUAAACUUGCAAACAAUAUACAUCAACCGUUAAAAAUUGUUGAUUUUGAAACCUUUUCGAUCGCUAGGUGAAUGAUAUCGAAAAAUAGCAAAAUUUAUUUUCUAGAUACUUCA
rnacentral:lncRNA from 1 species